GUGAGUCGGGUCCUAAGGCGAGGCCGACAGGCGUAGUCGAAUGGAUGAACGGGUGGAUAUUCCCGUACCGGCGGCGUACCGUAAGAGCCGAACGGAUGAGUACUAACCUCCGGUCGCGUGGCGUCGUUCCCUUCGGGGUUCGGGGCGCGUGGCUGUUGGGAGCGUAGUCCCGGUAGGCUAGCGCACAGGGGUGACACGGAAUGGGAGCCGGCCGCGGAGGUGGUUUUCCGUGGUCAAGCACGCAGCCCGUCCCAUAGGCAAAUCCGUGGGACGCAUAGGGUGAGGUGUGAUGAUGGGCGUCCUUUGGACGCGAUAUCCGGUGGUCCAGGCCGUCGAGAAAAGCCUCGGCGCGAGGGGCGUCGCCGCCCGUACCCCAAACCGACACUGGUGGUCAGGUAGAGAAUACCAAGGCGAUCGAGCGAAUCCUGGUCAAGGAACUCGGCAAAUCACUCCCGUGCCUUCGGUAUAAGGGAGACCCCCGGGCGUGAAGAGGCUUGCCCUCGGAGCGUUGGGGGGUGGCACAGACCAGGGGGUAGCGACUGUUUACCAAAAACACAGGUGCAUGCGAAGGCGCAAGCCGCUGUAUAUGCACUGACGCCUGCCCGGUGCCGGAAGGUUAAGAGGAUCCGUCAGCCUUCGGGUGAAGCGGUGAAUUCAAGCCCCGGUAAACGGCGGUGGUAACUAUAACCAUCCUAAGGUAGCGAAAUUCCUUGUCGGGUAAGUUCCGACCUGCACGAAUGGCGUAACGACUUCCCCACUGUCUCGACCAGGAGCUCGGCGAAAUUGCAGUACGAGUAAAGAUGCUCGUUAAGCGCAGAAGGACGAAAAGACCCCGGGACCUUUACUAUACCUUGGUAUUGGCAUUCGGUGUGGAUUGUGUAGCAUAGGCGGGAGGCCGAGAGGCGCGGUCGCCAGAUCGCGCGGAGCCGUAAGGUGAAAUACCGCUCUGUUCGCAUUGGAUGUCUAACCUCGAACAGUCAUCCUGUUCAGGGACAGUGCCUGGCGGGUAGUUUAACUGGGGCGGUUGCCUCCCAAAGAGUAACGGAGGCGCCCAAAGGUCCGCUCAGCCCGGUUGGCAAUCGGGUGGCGAGUGCAAGUGCACAAGCGGGCUUGACUGCGAGGACGACGGUCCGAGCAGGGACGAAAGUCGGGACUAGUGAUCCGGUGCCGGUGUACGGACGCGGCAUCGCUCAACGGAUAAAAGGUACCCCGGGGAUAACAGGCUGAUCAUUCCCAAGAGUCCAUAUCGACGGGAUGGUUUGGCACCUCGAUGUCGGCUCGUCGCAUCCUGGGGCUGGAGCAGGUCCCAAGGGUUCGGCUGUUCGCCGAUUAAAGCGGCACGCGAGCUGGGUUCAGAACGUCGUGAGACAGUUUGGUCUCUAUCCUCUGCGCUCGUUGGAAUCCUGAGGAGGCCUGCCCAUAGUACGAGAGGACCUGGGUGGACGGACCUCUGGUAUGCCGGUUGUCGCGCCAGCGGCAUGGCCGGUUGGCUACGUUCGGGAGGGAUAACCGCUGAAAGCAUCUAAGCGGGAAGCCUGCUCCAAGAUUAGGAUUCCUUGACGCUCCCCGGAGCGCCUGUAGCCCGCAUGUUGAACACGUGUUCGAUAGGCCGGAGGUGGAAGCCCCGCGAGGGGUGGAGCCGACCGGUACUAACGGGCGAACGCGGCACAC
rnacentral:rRNA from 1 species